GCAAGAUGGAUACAAAUAUCCUAGAAACACAAUGCUAGAGGUUGUACAUAGGGGCGAGAAAGAUGAUGGUGAGAGGAAGAUUAUGUGGGCAGGGGUCGUUUGCCCCUUGCCCUACAGCAGGGCAUGCGCAGACUGUUGCCAUGAGGUAAUGAACAGGCGGUGUUUGGCUGCCACUCAAGCAUCCCCUUAUACUACGUACUGGCCCUACGUGGUGUAAUGUAGAGCUGAUAAAAAUGGGGUGUCAGGACUGCUGAGUUGAGCAAUACUCAUCCUUCCAUCGAGACCGUGUUGCUCCGUGGGGACGCCCGCUAAGCAUGGGUACCAACCAGCUGCUGCAGAUUCUGGUAGCCCUGGCCUGUCUGUGUGGAUAUCGGCUAUGCUUUGCUUCUUUACUGACUACUGUUUCGGGUAUCAAUGUGUGGACCACCCUGGCCAAUGUGACGAAGACUGAUGUCGUGUGUGUCCAUGGCAACUCCCACGAGUCCUUUUUGCACCUGCUUAGUUGGAGUACCUAUUGAUGACUACUGGUGGGGAGCUCUAUAUAAUGAGACCGUGUUAGCAAAUUCCACACAGCCAGGAACUCAACAACCUCUUUGGUGGUGCCAGGCAUCAUAGCAAGUUACAAGUGGGAAGGAUGCUAUUUGGUAUACUAAGUCUACAGCAUAUAUGCAUAAUUUUCCUGCUUUACCCAUUCAGCCACAAGAAUUGGACAUUUUAGGGACAUUAACUGCAACUCGAUGUUUUUACUUAAACUAUACAUCAGGUACCAAGGUUGACAAAGGAGGAGUUGACAUUUUUCCUAGGGAUAUAUACUGGAAUGCAUCAGCCUGGUGCAAUGAGACCAUACAAGCACAAUUCAUUCCUGGAUCCAAUGCAAUUGGCCUCCCAAAUGAUCUAUUUCUCAUUUGUGGACAAAGGGUGUGGAAAGGUAUUCUGGGAAAGGUCGUAGGAGGCCCUUGUACCUUUGGACAAAUAACUUUAUUUCAUCUACAUAAAAUAACCUUGAUUAAACUAAGAACAUGCAGAUGAAACGCACGGCAGUUUACUUUGGACUGUAAUUCUGAUGUAACGUUUUGGAAUAAGGCUGAAAGGAUAUCUGCUAGUAUAAUAGCUCAGAUAGGAACUGCUCAUGCUUUAGCUUCUAGCUAAUGCUACCUCCGUUGCUUUGAGUGCAUUGCUCACAGAUGUAGACUCUGUUAGACAUGCAAGUUUACAAAAUAGAGCUGCUACUGAUUUUUUGUUGUUAGCCCAAGGACAUGGCUGUCAAGAUUUUGAGGGCAUGUGCUGCCUGAAUUUAAGUAAUCAUUCUGAGUCUGUUCAUGCUAGCAUCCAGAAAUU